GACAGAGGGUGCGAGCGUUAAUCGGAUUUACUGGGCGUAAAGCGUGCGUAGGCGGCUUUUUAAGUCGGAUGUGAAAUCCCUGAGCUUAACUUAGGAAUUGCAUUCGAUACUGGGAAGCUAGAGUAUGGGAGAGGAUGGUAGAAUUCCAGGUGUAGCGGUGAAAUGCGUAGAGAUCUGGAGGAAUACCGAUGGCGAAGGCAGCCAUCUGGCCUAAUACUGACGCUGAGGUACGAAAGCAUGGGGAGCAAACAGG
rnacentral:rRNA from 1 species